rnacentral:rRNA from 1 species
UACGUAGGGACCAAGCGUUGUUCGGAUUUACUGGGCGUAAAGGGCGCGUAGGCGGCAAUUCAAGUCAUCUGUGAAAUCUCCGGGCUUAACCCGGAACGGUCAGAUGAUACUGCUUUGCUAGAGUGCGGAAGGGGCAAUCGGAAUUCUUGGUGUAGCGGUGAAAUGCGUAGAUAUCGGGAGGAACACCAGUGGCGAAGGCGGUUGCCUGGGGCUUUGCUGACGCUGAUGCGCGAAAGCGUGGGGAGCGAUCCGG